UCGUAACCUCGCUGCGCCUCGCCCGACAGGCUCCUCCCUAUCUCCUGAGGGCAACCCAGAGGUGCGGCGCCAUGGCCCGCAGCGUGCCCGGGAGGGCGGCCCCAGCCCCGGUCUAGGCGCGGCUCAUCCGUACUUUCCGGGGGUUUCCUGAGCGCCCCCUGGGCCGCGGUCCUGCCUGGACGAGCGCAGGAAGGGAGAGCAGCCGGCAGGCUUGCGGCCCGGCUACCACCGUUCUACUUUCUGUCCCUGAACUGGACUGCUCUUAGGUAUCUCAUAUUUCCAUUUUGGACGUGUGAAUCCAAGGAGAAAUGACAUCUAAAUAGAUGGAUAUAUGAGUCUGAAACUCAGCAGAGGAGUGACAAGACUGGAGAUAAAGACUCCUCCUCUCAGCCUCGCCCACCCGGGGCGACGGGUCCCUCUCCAGUAUCCUUCUGUGCAGCCACGUGCUGCCAUCUCUCCAGCUGGCUUAUUAGUGGCAACCUAGUGAUCUUUCUUCAACAUCACUUGGAUGCUCAGCCCAUGGUCCUGUCUCCUCUGCACCAGUCUGUCCACCCGCUGCUUUCUUCCCUUCCCUCCUGAUCAUCUUCAAUCCCAUUUUGCUCCAUUCCGGUACUGUUCUUGCUGUUACCCUUAUAUUUUUGCUCCUCUGUCCUUGGCACACUUGUCUGGCAGAACCUCACCGCUGGGUGAACUGGAACACCUGCUCUCCACGCCUGCUGCUGGAGGAGUCGUCCAAGAGGGCUGAGGGCACUGCUGGGAAUUCAAAUGGGCCCUCAGUCCCGCCUGUUUCUCCUCCUUGUCAACUGUCCCUCCCAUUCUAUGCAAGGAUGUUUUCAAGCCUUAUCUACACUCAUCAGACUGCCUCUACACCCUUCACAAUAGCCUCACCUCUAAUUUUGGAGAACAUGGAGACCAUCAGGUGGAAACUAGGCUUCUCAUCGGUUGUACAGCCCAUCACAGCUGCCCUCUCUGCUCCUGUGACCCUCCUGCUAGGAUAGGAAACAGUCAGUCCUGCCCAAGGCUAAAGCCAGCACCUCCUUGAAUCCCAUCUCUCAUCUUAUCAGAGAACUUAACAGUAUUGAUUAUCCCCUCUCUCUCUUGUAAGUCCUGGCUGCUGGAAAUAGCCUUUCAGUGUGCUCAUGUCUUCCAUCUUAAAAACAAAACCAAAACUGAACUAAAGAUGAACACAAAGAACUUUCCUGAAACAUCCCUCUUUGGCUGUCACUCCCUUCCUCUCCAUCACAGCAGAUGGGCAUCAUCUUUCACAUGGUCCCCUCCCUCACCCUGCAUGCCCAAACAAGGACAGGCCAUCAGUUGAAGACAGAAGCUUGGAGGCUCCCAAGAGAACUCAAGUGCUAUGGGUUAAAUGUGUCCCCCAAAGGUUCAUAUAUUGGAAACUUAAUCUACAUUGUAACAGUGUUAAGAGGAUGGGAAAUCCAAUUAUGGUACUUGAAAGGUGGGGCUGUAAAGAGGUGAUUAGAUUGUGAGGACUGUAUCCUGGUGAAUGGAUUGAUCCAUUCAUGGAGUAAUAAGUUGGUAGUUUAAUGGAUGGUCAUGGGCAUGGUCCUGAGGGCUUUAUAAAGACAGUGAGUGAGCAGGUCAGCUCUCUCUUGCUCCACCCAGUUGCCAUGUGAUACCCUGCGUUGCUGUGUGCAGUCACCACCAAAGAAGAAGGCCCUCACCAGAUAUGUUCUCUGGACUUUGAUCUUCCC